UACGUAGGAGGCAAGCGUUGUCCGGAAUUACUGGGCGUUAAAGCGCGUGUAGGUGGUGGGACAAGUCUGCUGUGAAAGUGCCUGGCUUAACCGGGCGAGGUCGGCGGAAACUGUCCGACUCGAGGACGGUAGAGGGGGGUGGAAUUCCCGGUGUAGUGGUGAAAUGCGUAGAGAUCGGGAGGAACACCUGUGGCGAAGGCGG
rnacentral:rRNA from 1 species